ACAAACAUACUUCACAAUGGUCGCACAUCCUAUCUGAGCCCUUGCCCUGACAUCAUCCAGGUGAAAGAGAACUACAGCAGCGUAGCUCAGCAACACAUCUCUUUCUCUACAGUGCACUCGAGAGAUCCAAGCACAACUGUGAACACAGACAGCCUGGGAUGUUCCGUGUUCGACAAAACACAAGACGAUGAUAAACCAGCACCAUCUGUGGAGGAUAAAGCCUUCUUGGAUAUUAUGGACAAACAGAAUUUCAACUUGGGGCUUUUGACAUUCAGUGCUCCAUCUUCACCUGUCAACAACAGACUGCAUGAGAAAGAUGUGGUUUCCUUAUUUGGAAGUGGGAGGAGUCAAGAAAAUAAAACGUAUUCAAAGAAAA